UAUCUUAGAGGCAAUGUUAUUGCUAGAAAAGUUAAAUGUAAUCUAACACUAUAAUACACUAUUGUUAUUUAUUGACAUAGUUUACACACCAGACAGAAAGUAAUGAAGGGAAUUGUUCAUUCUCUUAUCUUUUCUACUGUUACUGGGUAAAUUAUGUCUCAACACAUAAUAUGUUUUUUCUGCCAAAGUAGUACCACUACUAUUCUCUCUAUCUCUCCUCUGUGUAUCCCAAUAUAUCUUGUAUUUUUCUUAGUAUGCCUUUUGAGCCUAAUGGAAAUUUGUUGCUUGGGUUGCUCAAAACCAGUGAAGGACGCCUCGUUUAGUGUUAAACCCUCCAUGCCAGCGGUGGCUACGAGUAGUUCAUAUAGGUAAAAAACUAGCUUACUUAUAUAUGAAUUGAUCUUGCUUCUCUCUUCAUAUAGUGGUCCAAAGUAGCUGCUUGUGUCUGGAAGAACAUGAUAUCCUUAGUUGGAUUGAUUUUGGGAGUUGGGUAUAUACUCGUGCUAAAUUAAAAUGAGGUAUUGGCUUUCAGAAGACCCUUUCUUCAUAAGGUUUUAGACUAUGAAGAUGAAUUCUUUGCUUUGUUGAUGCUUGUUCUUGAGACUCAUAGCUUACGGACUACAGGUUAAUCUAUAUUUUCGUUCCGAUUAUAUAUAUUUUCUUUUUCCUAUUUAUUUGCUGCAAAAUGUUCAAUUGUUCAAUGUUGAAUUAUUUUUGAAAUCGGAGUUGUAAUUUUGUUUUGGAUUGCCUACAAAGUUAUAAGAAAAUGAGUUAUUCUCACUGUUUUGAUGAAUAUGCACAUAGGGUAUUGUUGUGGGGCUUCAUAAUUUGGAUGGUGUAAUUCCUAUAAUAAGAGAAUCUUCAAGCAAUGCAGUUGCAACAUCUGGUCUAAAAAAUGCAGGCUAAGGCAGCUGAAACUGUGUCAGAAAAUAGGAAAAACUAGAUCUUAAAUGUUUGUGAAUUGAGAUUGAAAUGAAAGAAAUAGUUUGGAGUUACGAUGAACUUGUGAAGAUUCUUCAGGUGAUAGCAUCAAGGCAAUUAGUGGAACUUUUACUGUUGUAGAUCUCUUUCUGUUGCAAGAUAAUCAAAGAAAGUUUUUUGGUUUCUAUACUUUCAUAUUGGGCUUCCACUUACAUAUGGGACUUCAUCAGCUUCUUAUUUCCUUUCUCUUUUGCAAUUGGUCUUUUUAGUAUAUUUGGUCUGGAUCAGUUUAUCGGAAGGGAUUGUUUCUUGCCAACAGUCAUCAUGUUUUUGGGAUAUGGUUUAGCUGUUGCAUCGUCAACAUAUUGCCUUUCUUUCUUCUUUUCAGACCAUACUAUGGCUCAGAAUGUAGUUCUCUUGAUCAACUUUUUCUCUGGACUCAUUCUUAUGGUCAUAUCUUUCAUUAUGGGGCUUAUUAAGUCAACUGUUAGUGCAAAUUCUUUUCUCAAGAAUUUCUUCCGACUAUCUCCAGGGUUUUGCUAUGCUGAUGGGCUUGCAUCACUAGCUCUUCUGCGUCAAGGGAUGAAAGAUAAAUCUAGUGAUGCAGCUUUUGAUUGGAAUGUAACUGGUGCCUCUAUAUGCUAUCUUGGUGUUGAGGUUUAUAUCUUCUCAUUUUUUUUUAAAAAAAUUGUUUUGGAUAUCUUGCCAUUUAUAAUUUUUUAAGUUAGAAUUGAGUACGAAUUCCUUAGAAAUAUGAUAUGAUCUGACAUGGCUUUUGCACUUGUCACAUCAUUUGUUACUUCCUGUUGACACUUGGGCUUGAACUCUUGCCUUCCUACAAGGAAUGGUGGAGUAUAAAAAGUUUCCGACGUGAUGGUUAUCCUCAUUUAGAACCACUUUUGGGAUCCUCUGCAGAAAAGGUUGCUCUUGACUUCGAUGAAGACACAGAUGUGGCAAUGGAAAGAAACAGAGUACUUUCAGGUUCCGUUGAGAAUGCUAUCAUUAACUUGCGUAAUCUUUCACAGAUCAUGCCUAUAGAUGCUCAAAGAAUGCUUUAAGAGUUUGAGGGGUGUGUGCUUUUAGCUUUUGAGUUGGAGCUAGAUCAUUUUUUUUAUGUUUGUUUGCCUAAUUUAGUGUUAGUUUUUUUUUUGUUCAGUUAGUUUGGUUUGUAUUGGGGUAACUUUUUUCUGUUUUCCAUGUUGGCAACUCUGAUUCAUGGAGUUUGUUGUUGUAGUUCAUAGACAAUACAAUUCAAGCAAGGACUAUGUAAUUGAAUUUUUUAUGAUUGCUAUUGUAAUUUUUAUGUAA